rnacentral:snRNA from 14 species
GCUCCUGUCAUUAGAACAAUACAGAGAGUAGCAUGGUCCCUUCAAAAUGAUGCCCUGCAAAUUCAUGAAUUAUUCUAGAUUUUU